CGUCUGUGUCUGUCCUCGUGCUGAGAUUUUACUGUCAUUUUUCAAGUGGCGGAACUGGGUAAAGGACGCCAGGCAUCUCUCUCUUCCUGACAAUUGCAUGCGUGUCUACAGUGAUCUCAGCAUACAAACUCCAGGCACCAUGAAGGACAUGGAACCCACGUGGGCCACGGCAGUGCCAUCCUUGCUGUCACACGGUUUUCUGUUGGCCGAGGGGGCGGAUAGGAAACAGCUCACGUGUGAAACAAUCACAGGAUCCUGUGUGUCCAGUCCUAAACAGGACUAUCUGGCUAUGUGAUGCUCCUUGUCAUUAUCUAAUAAUGAUGAUUCUCCCUCCUUGAAUGCUGACUCCCUCUCUGCCCAGAGAGGAGAACAUGGACCCCUCGCCAUGGGACUGGAAAGUAAAGGCUGGAGAGCCUGGCACUUUGGUCCAACGGCCGCGGCCCCAGUUUGCUACAGAUCAAAAACUGCUGAGACGCGCUUCCUGUCCUCCAAGAAGAGAAGCAUUCCACACAAGGCAGAUGGAUAUUAAGUGCAGAAUCACGAGAGUGUGACGUGGACGAGAUCAGUGAGCAAAGGGCCCACAGAGAACACAGUCUAAGAACAGGCGGGAUUUCAGCUGAAUCCUGUGUGGAAGUCAGAAUCAUGGACUCCAUGUGUGGAAGCUGAGAAGGCACGAGGAAACCCAGCUGCAGGCGGAGUCUAGAGAUGGACACGGACAGGGUCCCAGGGACUGCGAAUGCCUGGAAGGCACACAGCACAGUGAACAGAUCGGGGAAAAGCACGGCUUCCUUCAACGAGAGCAAGCAUUACUAUAAGGUCUCUCCCCAAACUUGUUCAGUUUUCCUGGGGCUCCCAUUCCCUGGAUUCUGUUACUUUCUCCUUAAAUAUUGAUGGCUCGUUGCUAGCAGUUCCCCCCAAACCAUGACGUAACUGUGUCUUCUGUCAAUUUCACCACGUUCUUGCAAAUGGAGGCAACUCCUGAUAAGACCCAAUCCCAGAUCAGCCUGGGCUGCCGAGAGCUUCCAAGAACAUCAGGUAAAUGGAGACUGAUGCUAAAGUCACAGCCGCCGAGUUCAGCAGGUUCUUAAAGCCAUCGUGAGCCUUCUCCGCCUCUUGCCUGCUUUGUCUUUACUUUUUCCUCUCUGUGGUUUUUUUCCCCCACCAGCAUUUAAAUAUCAACAAGUCUUUCUUACCUGAAAAAUAAAUACCUUGAACAGA